rnacentral:rRNA from 1 species
UACGUAGGCAGCGAGCGUUGUUCGGAGUUACUGGGCGUAAAGCGUGCGUAGGCGGCAGUCCAAGUCUGGUGUGAAAUCUCCCGGCUCAACCGGGAGGGUGCGCCGGAAACUGGGCUGCUGGAGUGCGGGAGAGGUAAGCGGAAUUCCCGGUGUAGCGGUGAAAUGCGUAGAUAUCGGGAGGAACCCCUGCGGGUUAGACGCCUUACUGGACCGCCACUGACGCUGAGGCACGAAAGCGUGGGUAGCAAACAGG